GCAGCCGAAUUUAAUUUGGGGUGUCCGGGGACGCCGGAGGUGCCUUUGGUGUUCUCAGCCCCAGCCCGGCCCGACCGCGGGGUCCGGGACCCCCCAAAACCGGAGCAUAAGGAAGAGCUGCUUCGCUUGGAAAAAAAAUUAAUUAGUCUCCAGACAUGGAGGCAAAGUCUCUGAGUUAGUCCAAGGAGGCUUCCUUAAAUUAGCAAUCGAGGCUCUGGGCGGAGGGGUUGGGGAGUUAAGCCUUAAAAAGGUGAUUUUUGUAGGUACGAAAGAGUCACAAACGUUACUUUGGCUUUAAAUAAAAUAAGUGAGCAAAAUCUUUUGGACAAGCCAAGCCUACGGCCAGACAAGAAACCGAUCGGUCGAGCGCCUUUAACUUUCCAGAAUUAAACCUCUCCCCUUGCCAAAACCGUUACAGAUCCAAGAAUUCGAGCGAGAAUUUAUUUUGCCCCGCAUACUCCAGUAAAACGUUUCUAAAAUCUUCGUUGUAAUGAUUUUUCAGGAGAGUUUUUGUUUCUCUUUAGGAACUCUUUCCGUUGCUGUAUUUCGGGGUGUAUUGAAUUACACUUAAAUCUUUGCAAGAGUUCUCCGUUGAGGAAAAAAAAAAAAAAAAAAGAACAAUAAUGAUAAAAAAUCAGUAGAAAUGAGCAACAGAAGUCUAUCCAGCAUCAGGAGCUCCCUCAAACAAAAUACUCCAUUUGUUUCUAUUCCAUCCAUUUGUUGGGAAAUUCAAUUAAGCCUGGCUACCUUCAAUUAUUUACAUAAGCCCCCUGUCCCGGAGACUUUUAUAGGUUUCUUCUCUGGUUUUCAACAUUGUUAUUAGAAAUCCAUAAAGCAGGGGAGGGACAGGAAAUUAAAUUUAAAGGUACCUCAUUAUGGCACAACUGCGUUCCUAGCUCUGCGCCGCUGCGGACGGAGACGCAAGUUUAGGCGGACGGAGAGGAACACAUGGCGACAGGAGAAGGCUGGGUCCCCUCAGCAAGUGGACUUGGCAAUCCUGGCGAAAUGACCUUUUAGUUUCAAGUCUAGCGAGCAGCCUUCCUUCCCAUCCCAGCGGUGGGCUCGGAGAGUCCGCAGAGAGGGAAAAAGGGGAAGAAAAGAAAAAAAAAAAGCCGAGGGAGAAAGGAAAAUCGUGCAAAUGGUAGAGCCACAAGACGGAGCAUGAAAUUAUCAUUAAAAAGUAAAGAAAAGGGAAGAUCAGCAAGCCUGCUCGCCCGUCCGGAGAGCUGGCUGGCAGUUUCCUGGCCAGACGUCUGGGGCUGAUGAGGAGGAUGAAGUAUUCUCGGGAAGCGACAUGUGGGAAUAUUAUAAAAGACCAAGACGUUACGAAAACCGCCUCCCUCCCCAGUCUCCCGGCGAGGCCGGAUCCAGCACCCACUUACCUGUCCGAGCCCUUCCCAGCCUUUCCGUCUUGUCUUUUUUUUUAAGCAAAUGUUUCCCCUCCCCCUUAAAAAAUGCCAGGGAAAUAAAUAAAUACCGACAGCC